UCAGAGAGCUGCUGACCUAAUGAUGAAUGC
rnacentral:piRNA from 1 species